GUGUGGAACAAUUUGGUUGGGGAUUUUAUCUCUUCAAGUCUUCAUCUUGGACAUGAGGAUCGAGGGCAUCCCUUAACAAAAUGAAGACAAACUAAUUCCAUAUGCUACGUUUUAACUUGUAUGGAAAAUAGAACAAUCAAUGUAAGCACAUGAAUCAUAAGCAUCCCUCCAGCUAAGGAAGUAAAGGCCAAGCCCCCAAAAAGUGAUCGAUCUGCUUGCGUGCAUGGUUGGGUAAUUGUCUUCCCUUCACAUGAAUCGAUGACAGGUUUGUUUUCGAUGGUCGACUUCUUAUUUCUGGAUCUGAAAAUUGCAAAAAUCCAGGCUGAAUGAGAAACAGAGAGAAAAGAGAAAAAGGAAUGGUAGAUAUUGAAGACCGACUUAGUCCUUAGAAUAAUGGGUUCUAGCUAAGAUAUUGUAUAAUAUAUCUGUCCCGUUAUAAUAAAUAUCUUAGAAAUCUUGGAUCCAUCAAUGAGUGCAGGGACUGAAUCUAAGAGUACGUUGCUGUGCUUAAAUUACACUAUAAUUGAGAAGAGAAAUGACAAUUCUUGCAACUUGACAAUGGGGAGGUAAUAAUACAUUUCGAGAAGAAAGAGGUCUACCUUACUAGAAUUGAAGCGGAUUAGAGCAUUUUAUCAAUAGUCACAAAUAAAUUGGACGUUUCAAUUAUGUAGAAGCUAAUUAUCAAUCAGUAUUGAAAAACAAAUUAUUUUUCAUUUUUUAAGUCGAUUAAAGUGUGAUUUUGAA